GUUUUAUGUGGUAUUAAGAAAAGUAUUAAGUUUUAUGUCAAAUUUAUGUGGAUAUCAUGAGGACGUUAGUAAGGACAUCGUGAAAAUAGUCCAUGUGACAUCAGUGGUUCAACCAUUAUGUUAUCAAGCUACAAAAAUACAUUUGUGUGCAAAGAAAACAAAAAAAAACAACUUUAUUCAACAAUUUCUUUUGUUGCAUGUCAGGCUUUGAUAUGCAUUCAAGAGAGUACCACGACCCAUGCGUCUCCUGCUGACGCAGGAGCCGGUGCACAAAAAGUAUUUUCGUAGCUUCUUAAAAUUAAGGUUGAACCACUGAUGUCACAUGGACUAUUUUAAUGAUGUCCUUACUGCCUUUAUGGGCCUUGAAUGUGUCAGUUGUGUUGCUGUCUAUGCAGGGUCAGAAAGCUCUCAGAUUUCAUCAAAAAUAUCUUAAUUUGUGUUCCAAAGAUGAACGAAGGUCUGACAGGUUUGGAUCGACAUGAGGGUGAGUAAAAUAUGACAAAAUUUCUGGGUGAACUAUCCCUUUAAAACCUCUAGAUAAAACAAAAACAUAGUAAGUAUAGUAAAAGCAGAAAUGCAAGCUGAGCUCUGACUGCUGUUGGACUGAUUCAAGGUGUAAAGAUGAUGUUUAUAAAAACGUGAGAAUAUGUAGAGGUUUCCUAACAGUGGUCAGAGCCUUCUUCUCAAUUGCAUGGGGCCACCAAACCCCAAAGGGUCAAGGCUUUUCCCUUUAAGACAGGAGAGAAAUAUUUGGUCCAAGACCACAGCCUAAUAUUCUCCAAUUCAAAACUCAGGCCCUCAUAAAUUUUAGAUAUCCGGUUGUCGAUACAUUCUUUAUUUUUGAGACAUUGAUCCACAUUGAGCUCAAGAAUAUCAAGUAUUGUUAUCUCUAAUCCUCACCAGCAUAGAAGUCAGCAGAUCUGCAGUCCUACUUAAGCAAAGCUUGCUGUUUAUUACUUUAGAACUUGGAAUAACCCCACUCACUCAAACUCAUGAAUCUAAAUCAAAUAAUAAACCUUUCUGAAAUCCAUAGCAAAAAUCUUACUUACCUAUUCCAAUUUAAACAAGUCUAUCCUGGUGUGGACUUUCUAACUCGAACAUACUUGACCAAAGUAAAAUUCCCAAAUACCUCUUAUUAUAUGGACAAAAUAACAGAAUAAUCUCAUAAAUAUUCACACAGAAGAGACAAAAGAAGGACCAAAGAUGAAUUCUGCAAAAACAUGGAUAAAUUCUUUCUAUGGAGAAAAAAAAAAUACAGCAGAAAAAGUUCUCCAGACAUUGAAACACUCCUUAUUCUGAGAGCACAUCUGCCUGCUAUUCCUCAUUAAAAGCUGAGAUUUACAUCUUUGCUUGUGCAAGAUAAGGCUUCCUGAACAGAGAUCAGAAAGACUGGAUGCUUAAAGCAACACAACUGUUCUUGUGUUUCAUAGCAUGGAACUUUUCUGUGACAAGCACAUAGAAACUGUAUCAACUGAACAAUUUUUUCCACCACUUUGAGGAAUGACCGUCAGUGAAACAGACUGAUUGUAUUGCCAAAUUCACUUCAUUUUAGCAGUCAAAUCUGUACAGCUUGAAGUUCACACAUAAGUUCACACAGUCAAUUGAGAACCUUUUUGUACUUAUGGGUUUGUUUGUAUGAUAGUAAUCUACGAUAUGCACCGUUACAAGCUUAGUAAAACCAUAUUAAUGUGAUAUAACACAGUAGUUGAACUGCCUGUUCAUUUCAUUGUGUGCACAGCUUUCAGACAGCCGUGCUAUGCUGUUUGGUCACUUAUAUGAGAUUGGCCCUCUCCCCUGUUAGUUCCUGACCUAGGUCUGCAGACUGGAGAUUUUAUCCUGAGGAUACAACCUCAGAAGAAACUAUUUUUGCAAGUUUUAUGUUUUUUUCUCUUGAUCUUAACAUUAUAUGCCUUUUAUCGUUUUAAGC
ensembl:lncRNA